rnacentral:rRNA from 1 species
ACGGAAGGCAGCAGUGGAGAAUCUUGCACAGUGGGCGAAAGCCUGAUGCAGCAACGCCGCGUGAAGGAUGAAGGCCCUUGGGUCGUAAACUUCUGUUCUAAGGGAAGAUAGUGACGGUACCUUAGGAGCAAGUCCCGGCUAACUACGUGCCAGCAGCCGCGGUAAUACGUAGGGGGCGAGCGUUAUCCGGAAUUAUUGGGCGUAAAGAGUACGUAGGUGGUUUCCUAAGCAUGGGGUUUAAGGCAAUAGCUUAACUAUUGUUCGCCCCAUGAACUGGGUUACUUGAGUGCUGGAGGGGAAAGCGGAAUUCCUAGUGUAGCGGUGAAAUGCGUAGAUAUCAGGAGGAACACCGGUGGCGAAGGCGGCCUGCUGGACAGUAACUGACGCUGAGGCUCGAAAGCGUGGGGAGCAAACAGGAUUAGAUACCCUGGUA